rnacentral:rRNA from 1 species
CCUACGGGAGGCAGCAGUGAGGAAUAUUGGUCAAUGGACGAGAGUCUGAACCAGCCAAGUAGCGUGCAGGAUGACGGCCCUAUGGGUUGUAAACUGCUUUUAUAAGGGAAUAAAGUGAGUCUCGUGAGACUUUUUGUCAUGUACCUUAUGAAUAAGGACCGGCUAAUUCCGUGCCAGCAG